UACAGAGGGGCAAGCGUUGUUCGGAAUUACUGGGCGUAAAGGGCGCGUAGGCGGCCUUCUAAGUCGAACGUGAAAUCCCCGGGCUCAACCCGGGAACUGCGUCCGAUACUGGAAGGCUUGAAUCCGGGAGAGGGAUGUGGAAUUCCAGGUGUAGCGGUGAAAUGCGUAGAGUAUCUGGAGGAACACCGGUGGCGAAGGCGAGCAUCCUGGACCGGUAGUUGACGCUGAGGCGCGAAAGCCAGGGGAGCAAGCGGG
rnacentral:rRNA from 1 species